rnacentral:rRNA from 1 species
AUUGAACGCUGGCGGCAUGCUUUACACAUGCAAGUCGAACGGCAGCGCGGGCUUCGGCCUGGCGGCGAGUGGCGAACGGGUACGUAAUGCAACUGAACGUGCCCAGUAGUGGGGGAUAGCGCGGCGAAAGCCGGAUUAAUACCGCAUACGACCUGUGGGUGAAAGCGGGGGACCGAAAGGCCUCGCGCUAUUGUAGCUGCCGAUGUCGGAUUAGCUAGUUGGUGGGGUAAAGGCUUACCAAGGCGACGAUCCGUAGCUGGUCUGAGAAGACGACCAGCCACACUGGGACUGAGACACGGCCCAGACUCCUACGGGAGGCAGCAGUGGGGAAUUUUGGACAAAGGGGGCAACCCUGAUCCAGCCAUGCCGCGUGCGGGAAGAAGGCCUUCGGGUUGUAAAGCGCUUUUGUUCGGGAAGAAAUCCUCUGGGCUAAUACCCAGGGGGGAUGACGGUACCGGAAGAAUAAGCACCGGCUAACUACGUG